CGCUCAUUAUUGCCAUGCAGCUGCAUGACUUAUUGUGUUGUUUGCAUGUUGUCCACAAAUUAAACGUGACACUUACAUACUACUGUCAUAUUUCUUUCUUCACGAACCAUAUUACUUUUCCUACAAAACCCAGCCGGAUCAGUCCGUUUUCUACGUUAUAUAUAUCUCCGAGCCAGCGUUGAGUUCUUUCAAACAUGCAUGCACGUAUGUGAUUUAUUAACUUUUUUAAUCUAGAGCAUGCGACACAUGUGUCGAGUCUUCCUGUGAGAUUGAAACUAACUUGAAGUAAAAAAAAAUGCCCUCUCUUACAAUAAAGCAUGGGACAUGCAUAUAAAUUGUGGACAUCCUUAUUUGAUUGGAAAAUAGGACUGGUGGGAAGUGAUGUGGGUGUAACAGCAGAGCUAGAAAUUGGGGGCUUGAGGAACAGUAGAUAUCAUGGAGAAUGCGAAAAGACUGUGAUGUUUCCUGGAACAUCGUCCACACCAGCAUAUCAUUGGAGUCGGUCAUUCAGCUGCAGUUUGCGAAAAGGAAGUUGAAUGUCUUCCUUGCUGUGCUUUUCUAUGGCGUGGUGAAGAGUGUUCCACCAGUCCAGUUAACAAAGCUUACUGUGGAGGGACAUAUAUGGAUGCCAAGUAAUUUUAGGAGCUGCAUGUGCACCACGCAGAAUGUGUAGAGUGGAUCUUAUUCAGUGGUCAUGCACCAUGUAGAGUUCUAGUAAGGAUGAGCGGCAUCUGGAAUUUCUUCUGGUCAUGUCAUUUCUGUCCCACUGGUGUCCCCCAUGUUUGAUGCAGUCAAAUAACAAUUAUAGCAUCGCCUACAAGGUCAUUCACGGCAGUCUGGUGGGAUUAGUCGGAAUAUCUCAGAUUGUGUGGAUGCAAUCCUUUCAUGCCAAUCUGAUGGACCUGAUGGAAAGUUCAGAGCUAAGAAGGCCCAGCGAUCAGGUUGCUAGGCAUGACCAGUUAGAAUUUGGGGUCAGUGUGCUGCCGUGUGUGGGAGGGAGAAGUGUGGCUUCCUGCAUGCAUGUGUUAGACACAAUGGAGAGAACCGUCCUGAACAUGUAAACCAAAUCAGAACUGCCGCUGAACUCAAUCUAUCCCCCAAUUCCUCUGCUCAUUAUUUCUCUUCAUCUAAGCGAUUCACACAAGACAUGUUACCUGUACGAUAUUCAGUACCUUCUGACAGGUAAUCAAACACAUGUAUGUCUAAUAAUUAUGAGCCAUGUUGUCUCUCAGGCCUUAGGCCAAAGCAUGUAUGAUUUGUUCCCACAUUAUUUGAAUUCCUUCUAAAAGGAGAAAUUUAAAAGUAAAAAACUAAUCAGUUCCGUGCAUGCAGCCGAUAGAUGGACAAGGACCACCCCAUCUUGUCGAGGCUCACAUUACCCUUUAGUCA
rnacentral:lncRNA from 1 species